GGGGCCGUAGGGUAGCUUGGUCCAUCCUUCGAGCUUUGGGAGCUCGGGACUCCGAUUCAAAUUCGGGCGGCCCCACCA
rnacentral:tRNA from 1 species